rnacentral:misc_RNA from 1 species
AGAUCAAUAGACAUGGAAACCAUACAAUUGCACAAAGUGGUACUAUCAACCAAGAUAAUUUAGUUUAUUAUCUUGCAGUCCACAUGCAACAAAGUAUGAAAAAAAUUCAUGGAUUCACUAAUGUUAUGGCUUUGAUACAUAUCAGAUUUAUGGUCCUUUUGCAAAGUUUUGAAUUGCAUCAAAUGGCUUCAAAAAGAAAGAAUGGUUUUGCAUCAAAGCAGUAGAACAAAUAAUUGGUAUACAAACCUUCAGGUUACCACAUAUUGUCU